rnacentral:tRNA from 1 species
GGCCCGUUCGUCUAUCGGCCAGGACGCCGCCCUUUCAAGGCGGGGAGGAGGGUUCGACUCCCUCACGGGCUG